AUGGUGAAACCCCGUAAAUUUCAACGCAGUGACAACUCUGAAAUCUACUAUGGCGUCUUUACGGCUCCUCUCAGUUCACCCAACUCGUGCCUUCUCCUUUUCUCGAGAAAGUCUAUGUUCCGGUGGCAAGUUGGAACAAAGUCCUGGACGGACCACCCUUUUGUUGCUGCACGCAUUCAUCAAAUUGUGUCCUUCAAAGGUCAGAUUUUGGCCAUGGACUACCUUCUGAAGCUCAAUACCAUUUCCUUGGCUCCUCGGCUUGGCAUGCCGGAAGUACCACUUGUGUGGGGAGAGGACAUGACCGCUGGCUUGCUUAAAAAAUCAUGGUUGGUGGUCUGUGGUGACAUGCUUCUCAAGGUUGACCUCUCAAUACAUGAUCUCAAAUUCUGCUUUCAAGCCUACCGCCUGGACUUAUCAGUCAAACCCGCUAAGUGGGCGAAGUUGGAGAAGUUGGGAAAUUGGGCUCUCUUUGUUAGCCUUGAUAGGAGGAGCUCUACAUUUUCUUCCUUGAACCCUGAAAGAUGGGGCGGGAAGAGUAAUUGCAUUUAUGUUCCGAGCAAAUCCAAAGAUUCCGACGAACCUUGGAUUGAGGUAGAGCUUGGUCAGUUCAUGUCCAGGAGAUCCCAUCCCAUUUCAUACAUUCUCGGACGCAAAAGCAAGCAGCUGGAGAGCUUCUGGGUGCUCCCCAGUUUGGUGUAUGGUGUCAACAAGUGA
rnacentral:rRNA from 1 species